rnacentral:rRNA from 1 species
UACGUAGGCAGCGAGCGUUGUUCGGAAUUACUGGGCGUAAAGAGUGUGUAGGCGGCGCUCUAAGUUCGGUGUGAAAUCUCUCGACUUAACUGGGAGGGUGCGCCGGAAACUGGAGUGCUCGAACGUGGGAGAGGAAAGCGGAAUUCCUGGUGUAGCGGUGAAAUGCGUAGAUAUCAGGAGGAACACCUGCGGUGUAGACGGCUUUCUGGACCAUUGUUGACGCUGAGACACGAAAGCGUGGGUAGCAAACAGG